rnacentral:rRNA from 1 species
CAGUUAAAACGCUCGUAGUCGGACCUUGGCGGGCGACCAGGGGCGUCUUCACGGACGUGUUUUGGUUGGCCGCCUUUGUGGAGGGGGGCCCAGUGGUGCUUCACUGCGCUACUGUGGUCGCUGCCACCUUUUACUGUGAAAAAAUUAGAGUGUUCAAAGCGGGCGUUUGCCAUGAAUACAUUAGCAUGGAAUAAUAGAAUAGGACCUGUUUCCUGUUUUGUUGGUUUGUGAGGAUCGGGUAAUGAUUAAGAGGGACGGUUGGGGGCAUUUGUAUUCCGGCGUCAGAGGUGAAAUUCUUGGAUUGUCGGAAGACAAACGGCUGCGAAAGCGUCUGCCAAGGACGUUUUCAUCAA